AGUUGCAACUUUAAGUUUCAUGCAACAAGCAAUCAUCAGGCAACAUAUUAAUCUGUUGUUAAUUAAUAUGUUGCCUGAUGAUUGCUUGUUGCAUGAAACUUAAAGUAGCAACU